rnacentral:rRNA from 1 species
AUCUAAGCCAUGCGAGUCAUUGUAGCAAUACAAGGCAGACGGCUCAGUAACGCGUAGUCAAUCUACCCUAUGGACGGGAAUAACCUCGGGAAACUGAGAAUAAUGCCCGAUAGAACAUUAUGCCUGGAAUGGUUUAUGUUUCAAAUGAUUUAUCGCCAUAGGAUGGGACUGCGGCCUAUCAGUUUGUUGGUGAGGUAAUGGCCCACCAAGACUAUUACAGGUACGGGCUCUGAGAGGAGUAGCCCGGAGAUGGGUACUGAGACACGGACCCAGGCCCUAUGGGGCGCAGCAGGCGAGAAAACUUUGCAAUGUGCGAAAGCACGACAAGGUUAAUCCGAGUGGUUUCUGCUAAAGAAACCUUUUGUCAGUCCUAGAAACACUGACGAAUAAGGGGUGGGCAAGUUCUGGUGUCAGCCGCCGCGGUAAAACCAGCACCUCAAGUGGUCAGGAUGAUUAUUGGGCCUAAAGCAUCCGUAGCUCGUUUUGUAAGUUUUCGGUUAAAUCCAUGCGCUUAACGUAUGGGCUGCCGGGAAUACUGCAUAACUAGGAAGUGGGAGAGGUAGACGGUACUCGGUAGGAAGGGGUAAAAUCCUUUGAUCUAUUGAUGACCACCUGUGGCGAAGGCGGUCUACCAGAACACGUUCGACGGUGAGGGAUGAAAGCUGGGGGAGCAAACCGGAUUAGACACCCGGGUAGUCCCAGCUGUAAACUAUGCAAACUCAGUGAUGCAUUGGCUUGUGGCCAAUGCAGUGCUGCAGGGAAGCCGUUAAGUUUGCCGCCUGGGAGGUACGUACGCAAGUAUGAAACUUAAAGGAAUUGGCGGGGGAGCACCACAAGGGGUGAAGCCUGCGGUUCAAUUGGAGUCAACGCCAGAAAUCUUACCCGGAGAGACAGCAGAAUGAAGGUCAAGCUGAAGACUUUACCAGACAAGCUGAGAGGUGGUGCAUGGCCGCCCAG